UAGGCUAGCGACGCCACGGCUCUCCGCCUCCUGAGAUGGACUGGGCGACCUAGGAGAGGACUGGGCGUGCGUCAGGAAAGCAUGAGAUGGGUGAAAGUAUUGUGGUUUUUAAAAGGUGGUGAUCUAAAAAUGAGGAUUUGUGCUGGAGUCUGGCUUCGUGACCAGAAUAAGAUGAAGUUUGAAUCUGUGGAGAGGAGAAUAUUGAAUUUUCAAAAACUUGUUUCCAGGAAGGAACGUUGGAUGAAGUAUGAUUUAUCAACAGUAAAAUAGCUCAAAGGGAACAGAUUGAAGCAUAAAACAAAGAGGAACCUCCCUGGUGGUUCAGUGGAUGAGAAUCCGCCUGCCUAUGCAGGGGCAUGGGUUCAAUCCCUGGUCUGGGAAGAUUCCACAUGACAUGGAGCAACUAAGCCGGUGCUCCACAACUACCAAGCCAGCGCUCUUGGGCCCUCAAGCUCCAACUACUGAAGCCUGUAUGCCUAGAUCCUGUGCUCCAGAACAAGAGAAGCCACUAUAAUGUGAAG